rnacentral:rRNA from 1 species
GACGAACGCUGGCGGCGUGCUUAACACAUGCAAGUCGAACGGAAAGGCCCUGCUUUUGUGGGGCGCUCGAGAGGCGAACGGGUGAGUAAAACGUGAGUAAAACGCCCCUGACUGUGGGAUAAAUUCAGGAAACUGGGGCGAAUAUAGGAUAGGAGCUCCUGAUGCAUGGUGGGGGUUGGAAAGAGUCGGCGGUUGGGGCUGGACUAGCGGCUUACCAGCUGGUUGGUGGGGUAGGGGCGUACAAAGGCUUUGACGGGUAGCCGGCCUGAGAGGGUGACCGGCCACCUUGCUCCUGCGAUACGGCCCAGUCUCCUACGGGCGGCAGCGGUGGGGAGUCUUGCGCAAUGGGCGGACGCCUGAUGCGGCAACGCCGCGUGCGGGAUGCCGGCUUUCGAGUUGUAAACCGCUUUCGCCUGUGCCGAGGCGUGAGUGACGGUAAUUGGUCAAGAAGCACCGGCUAACUACGUG